AAAACAAAAACAUUUGAGACGGGCGAGCUCUUUAUAUAGUCCACGAAGUCUCAUUAAUGAUCAAUGCUGUUAAUACAUCGAAUUAUAAUAUUUCUUUAUCAGUACACCGAAAUUGAAGAUAACGACACAAGUCAAUCAGUGGGAUAUCGAUGACACCUUUUCAUUCGGUGAAAGGCGUUCAAAUAUAAAACAGCUUGUCUGACUGAAUUAAUAAUAAAAGGCACACAGAUUGAAAGGACAGAGUGUAUCCUGAUAAUAUCAAAAGUUUAGAAUUAAAGUCCUGACCAAAUUAAAUUGCUACAAUGGUAAGCCGCUGCUGCUCGAUAUUGUUGUGUUUUCUACUGCCACCACUAGCGGUUUGCAUAGAUAGAGGUUGUGGGUGUGACACACUAAUCAACAUUUUACUCCUUAUUUUUGGAUUAUGGGUCGGAGGUAUUAUUCAUGCUCUAUGUGUAACAAAUGCUUGCGGCAGAAACGAUUCCAGAGAUCGAAGUCAAGCAUAGAACAGAAGUGGAAAACAAAUGACAAAACAAAUGAAAUCAAUAAUAAUUAACAAAUAAAUUGGAUUCCUAAACAUUAUAC